rnacentral:misc_RNA from 1 species
UCCGUAGGUGAACCUGCGGAAGGAUCAUUACAGAUAUAUAUAAUAUAUAUAUAUAUAUAUAUCCAUCCAAUCUCUCUUUGUGAACUUUUGGUUGUAAAGUGAGUAAGUGCCCCUAUUUAAUUAGGGGCUUUUGAAAGCUUGCAAUCCAAAUCUUUUAUAUUAUACACUAUAAACAUUACAAUGAAUGAAUCAUAAUAACAAUAUAUAUAAUAUACAACUUUCAGCAACGGAUCUCUUGGCUCUCGCAUCGAUGAAGAACGCAGCGAAAUGCGAUAAGUAAUGUGAAUUGCAGAAUUCAGUGAAUCAUCGAAUCUUUGAAUGCACCUUGCACCUCUUGGUAUUCUGAGAGGUACACCUGUUUGAGUAUCAUUAAUUCUAUCCACUCUUAGUUAAAAGGGUUGGGACUUGGGAGAUUUACUUGCAGAGUUGAAUAUCUGCUCUCCUUGAAUGUAUUAGCAGGGAUUUUAUUAGUCCUUGGAUUGAUUGUGAUAAUUAAAACAUCUCUUCAAAUCCUUGGGUCUAAGUUGUUCAUCUGCUUCAAACAGUCUUUACUUAUUAGUAGACAAAGUUUCUAAAAGACCAUGAUCUCAAAUCAGGUGGGACUACCCGCUGAACUU